UACAGAGGGGGCUAGCGUUGUUCGGAAUUACUGGGCGUAAAGGGCGCGUAGGUGGCCUGUUAAGUCGAACGUGAAAUCCCCGGGCUCAACCCGGGAACUGCGUCCGAGACUGGCAGGCUCGAAUCCGGGAGAGGGAUGUGGAAUUCCAGGUGUAGCGGUGAAAUGCGUAGAUAUCUGGAGGAACACCGGUGGCGAAGGCGGCAUCCUGGACCAACACUGACACUGAUGAGCGAAAGCCAGGGGAGCAAACGGG
rnacentral:rRNA from 1 species